UUCGCAAGAAUGAAACUCAAAGGAAUUGACGGGGGCCCGCACAAGCGGUGGAGCAUGUGGUUCAAUUCGAUGCAAAUCGAAGAACCUUACCAGGGCUUGACAUGCCGUGAAUCCUCCCGAAAGAGAGGAGUGCCUUCGGGAACGCGGACACAGGUGGUGCAUGGCUGUCGUCAGCUUGUGCCAUAAGGUGUUGGGUUAAGUACCGCAAUGAGCACAACCCUCAUGUUUAGUUUCCAACAUUGAGUUUGGAACCCUAAACAAACUGCCAGUGAUAAGCUGGAGGAAGGUGAGGAUGAUGUAAAGUCAUCAUGCCCCUUACGCCCUGGGCGACACACGUGCUACAAUGACCGGGAUAAAGGGUCGCGACCCCGCGAGGGCAAGCUAAUCUCAAAAACUCAGCCUCAGUUCAGGUUGCAGGCUGUAACUCACCUGCAUGAAGCUGGAAUCACUAGUAAUCGCUGGUCAACCAUACGGCGGUGAAUCCGUUCCCAGGCCUUGUACACACCGGUCGUCACACUAUGGGAGCUGGCCAUGCCCCAAGUCGUUACCUUAACUGCAAGGAGGGGGAUGAUGAAGGUUGGGCUAGUGACUGGAGUGAAGUUGUAACAAGGUAUCCGUACUGGAAGGUGUGACUGGAUCACCUCCUUU
rnacentral:ncRNA from 1 species